GCCAGUGUAGUGUGGUGGUUUGAAUAUUGGACUAUGACUCUGGAGACCAGGGUUCAAAUCCCUGCUUGGCCA
rnacentral:tRNA from 1 species